GGUCAGUAUACACGUAGCCCGAAGCGUCCCCGCCAUGUUCUCUGUGUUUUUGUCGUCAAAGAUUAAAGCUGUGACAACUUUGAAUGCGCAUCAUAAUUACAGCUAACGGUCAAUCGCCAGACUGGAGGACACGCAGAAUUAUCACGUUUUCGAGGCAGCGUCGUGCAACGAUUGAGUGGUUCCCGGUCUCCAGUUAUACAUACAAAGAGAUGCACAGAGAAACACUGCCAAUCACGUCGCUGAAGGACACGGGGAAUCAACAUGUUUUCGAGGCAACGUCGUGCACCGCUCGCCAGUUAAGCAUACUAAAUUGUUAUUUUUAACUGCCAAUCGCCGCGCCGUAACCGGAAACGUACAGCUAGAGGACACGGAGCAGCGACUCCUUUUCAAGAAAGCGUCGAGCA